UACGUAGGGGGCCAGCGUUGUCCGGAAUCAUUGGGCGUAAAGCGCGCGUAGGCGGCCAGAUAAGUCCGGUGUGAAAGUCAAAGGCUCAACCUUUGAAUGCCGCUGGAAACUGUCUGGCUUGAGUCCGGAAGGGGCGAGUGGAAUUCCUGGUGUAGCGGUGAAAUGCGCAGAUAUCAGGAGGAACACCAAUGGCGAAGGCAGCUCGCUGGAACGGUACUGACGCUGAGGCGCGAAAGCUAGGGGAGCGAACGGG
rnacentral:rRNA from 1 species